CAGGUAGAGCUUCAUACAUUUUCCUCAUUGCUCACUCUCGCCCACCUUCUUCAGGGCCCUCUUCUCUCACGGAAAGCAGACAGUAUAUUGGCCAGGGCCGCCUCAGUGGCCCCCCAAGUGGUGGUGGAGAAGCUUUUGAGAUCCACCCCCACUGAGACAGGUGUGAGGUUGGCACGCCAGGAAAGAGAUGGAAGUGAGACCGCAAGAAGGACUGGCCCCGCCUGACCUAGUACGCAGUGCCUGCUGACCGGAGCAGGAAAGGCAGUCAGCCAUUACCAAAAAGAAUGAAUGAAUGAAGAGCUGGACAAACAGCAAGAGGCAGUGCCCCAGCCCUGCUGCUGUGAGCACUCACAGCUGCCCCUUUCCCCUGCGAGUUGUCCUGUCUGCCUUCCAGAACCGAGCUGCCCGGAACUGCAGCGGCUGACUCCCCGCCAGCCCUGAGAGCCGGGGUUACCUGCAGGAUGUGCACGCCCUUCAGGGAGACCACGGCCAGUUCCUGCAGCCCGUCCCCGGUCAGGUCCACGUCUCAGGAAGCCGAGGCACCAUCAUCUCGGAUUUGGACAUGUUCACAGACCCAGCAAGGGCUCAACCUGUCACUCAAGCCGUUCGCCUCCAGCCCAUCUCACUCCCAAAUGGAAAGCCACAGUGUCCCACUGGGGACUCAGACGCAUGCGCCCUCAAUCUAGUCGCCCAUGCUGCCUUCAUGGAGCCCGAAGACAGCUUGGCCCUGGCUUGGACACCUUCCCCACCCCUACACGGGUGCCAGAGCUGGCCACAGUCGCUUCCAAGCGCUGACUGGGAAAUAUCCCCAUGUCAUCAAUUCAUGGCUCACAGCCCACCGCGGUGGGAGUAUUUACACUUUGGACACUCGGGUAAAUGCUUCACACCUGGGCUUUCCCCGGGCAGAGCCAGUAAUUAAACAUUUGCCAGCACACCCACUAUCUCCCCUCCAGCGGGCGAGGGCGUCUCUGCUCCCAUCCUCCCGCCUCAACGUAUUCCCAAGUCUGU